rnacentral:lncRNA from 1 species
GCCGGGGCUGAGGAGGAAGAGGAGGCAGGGGACUGACCAGAGGCCAUGAAGGUGACCGUGCCUCGGGUGGUUAAGAAAAACCCUGAAGAUAGUUCCAGAUCCUGUGAAGCAUGUGUGUGAAGCAAGUUUCUGUUCAUCAGAUUGUAGUCCAAGGAAGACUCGUUCUGGCGCUGUCAUAUGGCCCUGUCUGUCAUCACAACACAACAGAAUUUUUUUUCUCGAGUUUCUUCCUGUGGUUAGCAAAAUAUAAAACUGAAAGAUCUGGUGAAAGAGGGUGUAUGGUAACACACU